rnacentral:lncRNA from 1 species
CCUCUUGUGGUUUCUCCGUCAUGCCAACUCCCGCAGACAAUGGCUGCUUUGUCCAGAAGAGAUGAUGAUUUAGAUGACAACCUGGCUUAAACCUCAGAAACCUUCAAUCUCUCCUUCUUCAAACAGUUUUUAUUAGAAGGAUGGCUGUGAAAAAUGAAGCCCUUAUGCACAAAGCCACCGCGUUUCACUGCGAUGUUCACCUGGCCUAUGAAGAUCUCCGGACACAAAACCAGGCAACAAAAUCAGGAUGCAACAAGAUGGAGGGGCAAAGCACAGAAGCGGAGUGGGCCCUGCCGUAGAAGAGCUGCAAGCUCAGGAACAAAACGGCCACAUCAUGCACAGAAGACAGUGCCCCAUGACAGAUACUCCAUUUCUUACUCAGACACCCACUCUGAGAAAACAGUUGACUUUCACUGGCCAUGAGAACCAUCUGGAUUCUGGUGAUAACUGGAUCCUCCUGUUCCCAAGGCUACCCAUCAAGAGCUCACACUGCUACUGUUUCUCACAUAUCACUUGCUUGAUGGCCUAUGGGUAUCCUCAAAGCUCCUUGCUUCCUCUGGGAUCCACACUUCCUCAUGCGAAUCCAUGGAAAUAAGAAGAUAUACCUUCAUCUUCCCAAAAGAUCGGUUGGGACAGAGGUUCAUCUUGCUCCUGGGCCACUGCCACUGUUCAAGACUUGUUUGGUCAGAAGACUGCACUGGACCCUGCUUCUUCAGAAUGCUCUAAACCAAGGAGUAGCAAUAGCUUUCAAAUGCUUGAGUACCCUAAGUCUAGAGAACUCAAGUCAGUUUUUAUAGACAGUUCUCUCCCCGUAGUUUGGUCUGGCUCGUUACACUUGUAACGAAGACAUCAUACAUACACUCCCUUCUUGCAGGUACUUCUGUCUCUGUACACAGCUUUCUCAGUGAAAAGCGGAGGAAUUAAGUUUAAAAUAUAAUAUACAUAUGCAUAAAAACAUAACAAGGAAAGCCAUCAUUUUGUACAACUGAAUAAAUUAAUGAUCAUGUAGUUAAGAAAAGCAGAACUUCCUAAGUCCUUCUGCAACACAUUUGACCCCAGAUCAGGAAAUCUUAAGGAAAUGAACUUGAAUAUUGUUUCAUUUUCCUGGAACACAUUCCAUGUUUCAAAAGUCUUAGAAUAUGGACCAAAAUAAGGAUGGUUAUUUCCUUCUUAAUGAAGCUUUCAGAAAGAUAAUUUCCCAGAAAGUUUACAAAAAGAUGAAAAAGAACCACUCUUCCUUCCCAUGUUCCCCACCAGACUUGCCUUGGUUGUCUUGUGAGUUCUGUGGUCAUCUCCUAUUGUCUGGAAGCCACAGUAUCUCAGCUUUACAAAAGGAAACUCCAUGCACACCCUGUGUCACAAUACAGGAAGCUAGCCUCCUCCACCAAAGAGGAGCUUCAUCUGCCUUGACUUGUCAGCGCUUUGCAUGCUGGGAUUUAUGGAGAAUUGCUCAGGCCAUGCUAAGGAAUAUACAUGCAUAAUGGAGGCACUUCAUUAAUGGUUCAUGUGGGGGUGAAUUGUUUUACUAAUAUAAUUAGCUCAAUGAUACAGGUCCAGUAAGGAAGUGAAACCACAGAACUUCCCCACCCCCAAGAGAUGACCUAACAAAGUCAGUCAAUGUUGCAUAAUGUGAUUGUAUCAACUACCACAUAUAAGCACACCAUGCCCAGCAUGGUGGUACAUGCCUGUAAUCCCAGAUGAGACAGGUGGAGCAACCUGUGCAACAAACAUAGUGAAGCUGUGUUAAAACAUCAAAAUAAAAUACACUGGAUAAAUAAA